rnacentral:lncRNA from 1 species
GGCCAGCUUCUCACACCCAUGCUGUCUUCUGGAUUGUGGCACGUCCCUCCUAUCGGGUCUGCUGGCCACCGCUCCCACCUCCGCCGACCCAGUCUCCACUCCAGCCAGAAAGGAGCAUUGCCAGGCACACACCCAGGACAUUUCAUACCCAUGAGCAUAUCUGAAGAUAGAUUGUGUGCUGAGCCAUCCAGAAGACCACAGUGAAAUCAUAGGAGCACCACUGGGUAUUUUAAACGUCCAAGAGACAGCACAUAAUCUACUACUUUGAAGUUAUGUGGACCCAACCACUGAAAAACAAAACUAUUAGGUAUUUGGUUUUGUCUCAGGACACUGAAAACUUCACUGAGACGCUGAGAGCGCUCUGAGCUGGGAGAACUUCUAAAACUCCAGCACACAGGGUUUCAAAGGAGAACGUAUUGACCACCCAUGUGCCUGCAAAACAGCACAAGGCAGGGAGAAUGUAACUAACCACUGUUGGAAUGAGGCAAGGAGAGGAAUCAAGAUGGCGACACAGGAGACUUUACAACCUCUGUCUGAGGUUCCGGUUUCUAAUCUGCGGGCAUCUAGGGGCUAGCUACGAUCCUCAGUGGAACCCAGGGAUGCCAGGGGGCAUUUCUACCACCUUCUCCCUCUGUUCAUCCCAGCUAUAACAACCAGAUCAUCACCAUCUCUCUGGGAAGAGCUUGUACACACGCCUGGUGCCCCAGCUUCUGUGGCUGCUAUUCGGGGAUACUAUACUGUAUAAGUAUAAUUUGCUGAGAGUGUUGAACUUAAGGGUUCUCACCAAAAAAGAAAAAAAAAAAAAAAAGGAGAGGCGCAUGGGUGGCUCAGUCGGUUAAGCGUCCGACUUCGGCUCAGGUCAUGAUCUCGCGGUUUGUGAGUUCAAGCCCCGCAUCGGGCUCUAUGCUGCCAGCUCAGAGCCUGGAGCCUGCUUCGUAUUCUGUGUCUCACUCUCUCUUUCUGCCACUCCCCUGCUCGUGCUCUGUCUCUGUCUCAAAAAUAAAUAAAACAUUUUAAAAAAUUAAAAACA